rnacentral:rRNA from 1 species
GAUGAACGCUAGCGGCAGGCCUAAUACAUGCAAGUCGAACGGUGUCUUCGGACAUAGUGGCGCACGGGUGCGUAACACGUAUGCAACCUACCUUACAUUGGGGGAUAGCCUUUCGAAAGGGAGACUAAUACCGCAUAAGACAGUAGCUGGGCAUCCAGCAGCUGUUAAAGAUUUAUCGAUGUAAGCUGGGCAUGCGUCCAAUUAGCUAGUUGGUGAGGUAACGGCUCACCAAGGCAAUGAUUGGUAGGGGAACUGAGAGGUCAAUCCCCCACACUGGCACUGAGAUACGGGCCAGACUCCUACGGGAGGCAGCAGUAGGGAAUAUUGGGCAAUGGACGCAAGUCUGACCCAGCCAUGCCGCGUGCAGGAUGAAGGCGUUGUGCGUUGUAAACUGCUUUUAUACAGGAAGAAACGACUCUUGCGAGAGGCAUUGACGGUACUGUAUGAAUAAGCACCGGCUAACUCCGUGCCAGCAGCCGCCGUAACAC